CCCUAUUAGAAAAACGUUGCCAACAACAACAACAGCAGCAGCAGCAGCAAUAGCAGCAAUGUUAACAACAACAAAAACAACAAGCUAUAGCUAUAGCUUAGCUAUAAUUCUGAAGCAUCUCUAGAGUUCAUUGAGUUCAUUUUUGCUAAUUUGGAUGCAGUGCACUAGCACAAAUUUGGUUGUCAAUCAGCAUUUAAUCACCUCAUUAAAUUCAAUGCACAUGGUUAAGCCUACAUUAAUUGAGUUUAUAUUUAUAUGUACUUUUGUCAUAUUUUCCACGAUCCCAGAAACAUUAUACUUUUCUACUCUCUCUCGGUCUCAACCUUGUAAUGCCUCAGUUAAUCUUUUAAUUAUAGCUAAUAAUGUAAUAAAAUGUAAUAUGCGAUUAGCUAUAUUAUUUGCAUGGAUAUGUCGACAAAUGAUGAUGGAGGUGUUUUUUUUCUAUGUAAAUUCUGUGUAAAAUGCGUCGUAAGAUAAGUUUUUGAACGCCACAUCACAAGCUUCUUUUAGCAGUGCAGAUAUAUGACAGUAUCACAAGGGCUCCUGUGAUAUAUCAGAAUAUUUUUAAGCCAUAUCAGUAACUCACUCCGGCGUUGUUCGUUUUACAUGUUUACAUCUUUCGAGCAGUACUUGAAAGCAGCAGGAGUCAUUCAAAACUUGCGUUCUAAGUUGGAGAUCACGUGUCAGCGGCAGAUUCAAAAAUUCAGCUCAAUAUUGAGGCCGCAGUUUUACGGAUGAAAUGAUGACAGUGAGCCUAAUACUUGAGAUCCAUCAUUCUGCCUGGUCCUCUGUCCUCCCCCCUCCUCUUCCUCUCUGUAUGGAUGCUGUGAAUGAACGCAGGGAUGGAUGGAUGGAUGGGCGGGCAGGCAGGCAGCAUCACAGCCGCAGCAGCCUACAUCAGCAUCCGCAGGCAGACCAUGUGAGAGCCCAUGUGCCCGAGAAUGCAGAUGCCUCUCACAGGCCGGGAUGGGCUCUGCAAUGGAGAACAGGACCCGCAUGCGGUCUGAGCGGGCUGCGACAGACCCCGAGAGCGACUCUACUGGUUAUUCGUCGCACAAGGAUGUUGAGAAGAGACAUGACACACAGCCUGCUUCUCAUAUAGAGACUGUUCCUAUUUUAGGGGUGAUCGUGGCAGUUUAUGAACAUACAUACACACUUUGUCUCAUGCAUCGGUCCCAGAGACAUAAAGUUAUGUAAUACGUCAGAUAAUGUGUCUAGGGAGCCCCAAGAAAGGAGUUUAUCUUAAUAAGCAAAUUAGAAAUAUGUAAUGACCUGUUUCAAAUAAACACAGAGAAAAAAAGA